rnacentral:lncRNA from 1 species
GUCUUCUGCUUCGAGUGCGUCAAGAGCCGCUACGACACGCGCCAGCGCAAGUGCCCCAAGUGCAACGCCGCCUUCGGCGCCCACGACUUCCACCGCGUCUACAUCAGCUGAGCCCCCGGGCCGCCCCCGGCACCCAUGGGUGCUCCCCCACCAUUCACGGGUGCUCCCUGACCAUCCCUGGGUGCUCUGCGGUCAACAUUGGGUCUUGGAGGUUGGUCAACGCCACCCUGGAGGACCGUGGAACCCUUUGUGUGUGCGUUAGGUGAAGACCAUGGGCACCCGUGGGUGCUUCUUGACGUCGUGGGGUGCCCCAAGGCCACCCCCAGCACCCAUGGGUGCUCCCCGACCAUCCCUGGGUGCUCUCUGGUCAACGUUGGGUCUUGGAGGUUGGUCAACGCCACCCUGGAGGACCACGGAACCCUUUGCACCUGUGUUCGAUGAAGCCCACGGUGCUCCCCGACCAUCCCUGGGUGCUCCACGGCCAACGUUGGGUCUUGGAGGUUGGUUGACGCCACCUUGGAGGACCGCAGUUGGCUUUGCGUUGGCGUCAGUUGAACCCCAGGGUGCCCCGUGCCACCCAUGGGUGCCCCCCGGUGACCGACGGGUGCUGUGGCCCCGCCCCCUGCCCCUCCCCCCCCCCAAUAAAGUGCUUGGAGCCGUAGGCGUGGCUGCGCGUGGCCUCCUUGGGGGGGGGGGGUGAGACCAUAGAGAGGGGGGAAGAAGGGCCAGAGGGGCUGCGGGGCCAUAGAGACCGGGGAGGUGGGCUAGAGUGUCCCGUGGGCACGUGGGGCCGUGCUGGCAACCAUAGAGAGGUGGAGGACUUCAAACCAUAGAGUGCUGGAGGACCUCCCUUCUAGCACGGUUUAACGGAAGACCAUAGAGUCCCGGAGGCCCUCCCUCCUAGAGUCCACGCAGUCACCAUAGAGUCCUGGAGGACCUUCCUAGAACGCCCUCCCCGUGACCAUAGAGUCCUGGAGGACCUUCCUAGAACGCCCUCCCCGUGACCAUAGAGUCCUGGAGGACCUUUUUCCUAGAGAGUCCAACCCGUGACCAUAGAGAUCUGGAGGACUUGUCAUGCAGUGACCAUAGAGUCCUGGAGGACCUCCCUCCUAGAGAGUCUCCACAGUGACCACAGAGUCCCGGAGGACCUUACUCCUAGAGAGCCCACCUCGUGACCAUAGAGACCUGGAGGACUGCCGAAUGGAACCCAAGGGGUGACCAUAGAGAUGUGGAGGACCUUCUUCCUAGGGCGCCCACCCCGUAACCAUAGAGAUCUGGAGGACUUUCCUCCUAGAGAGCACAAGGGGCGACCAUAGACAGCUGGAGGACCUCCCUCCUAGAAAGGCUGCCCGGUUGUUAGCGUAGCAACCACAUAAGCACCAAGUGAUUCUAUGAAGGUGCUUUAUUCAGCGCUGGAAGCCGGGGCAGG